CCGGUUGAUCCUGCCGGAGGUUACUGCUAUCGGAGUUCGAUUAAGCCAUGCGAGUCUAAAGGUUUCUUUCGAGAAACCUUGGCGGACUGCUCAGUAACACGUGGAUAACCUACCCUUGGGACUGGAAUAACCCCGGGAAACUGGGGAUAAUACCGGAUAGAUCAGGGAUGCUGGAAUGCACCUUGAUCCAAGGCUCCGGCGCCCAAGGAUGGGUCUGCGGUCUAUCAGGUUGUAGUGGGUGUAACGUACCUACUAGCCGACGACGGGUACGGGUUGUGAGAGCAAGAGCCCGGAGAUGGAUUCUGAGACACGAAUCCAGGCCCUACGGGGUGCAGCAGGCGCGAAAUCUUUACAAUGUGCGAAAGCAUGAUAAGGGAACUCCGAGUGCCAGUAUCUAAUACUGGCUGUCCUUGUGCCUAAAACGCACAAGAUAGCAAGGGCCGGGUAAGACCGGUGCCAGCCGCCGCGGUAACACCGGCGGCCCGAGUGGUAGCCGCUAUUAUUGGGUCUAAAGGGUCCGUAGCCGGUUCGAUAAGUCCUCUGGGAAAUCUGGUUGCUUAACAAUCAGACUGCCAAGGGAUACUGUCGAACUUGAGACCGGGAGAGGUAAGAGGUACUUCAGGGGUAGGAGUGAAAUCUUGUAAUCCCUGGGGGACCAUCUGU
rnacentral:rRNA from 1 species